ACGGAAGGCAGCAGUGAGGAAUAUUGGUCAAUGGUCGGAAGACUGAACCAGCCAUGCCGCGUGCAGGAAUAAGGCCCUAUGGGUCGUAAACUGCUUUUGUGGUGGAGCAAUAAGGCGUACGUGUACGCCGAUGAGAGUACAUCACGAAUAAGCAUCGGCUAACUCCGUGCCAGCAGCCGCGGUAAUACGGAGGAUGCGAGCGUUAUCCGGAUUUAUUGGGUUUAAAGGGUGCGUAGGCGGGAUGUUAAGUCAGCGGUGAAAGCGUGUAGCUCAACUAUACCAAGCCGUUGAAACUGGCGUUCUUGAGUGUAAACGAGGUAGGCGGAAUGUGACGUGUAGCGGUGAAAUGCUUAAAUAUGUCACAGAACCCCGAUUGCGAAGGCAGCUUACCAGCAUACGACUGACGCUGAUGCACGAAAGCGUGGGUAUCAAACAGGAUUAGAUACCCUGGUA
rnacentral:rRNA from 1 species